AUUGAACGCUGGCGGUAGGCCUAACACAUGCAAGUCGAGCGGCAGCACGGUGCUAGCUUCCUCAUACAGCUGGGGACGGGCGAGCGAGUGCGAGGUACAUCCGUAUCUGCGGGGGAUAACGUGCGGAAACGGGCGCUCAUACGGCAAAAGCCCUGACGGCGUAAGUGUGGGAUCUUCGGAUCUUCCGCUCUCAGAUGAGUCUAGGUCGGAUUAGCUAGUUGGUGGGGUAAAGGCCUACCAAGGCGACGAUCCGCAACUGGUCUGAGAGGAUGAUCAGGCACACUGGAACUGAGACACGGUCCAGACUCCUACGGGAGGCAGCAGUGGGGAAUAUUGGACAAUGGGCGAAAGCCUGAUCCAGCCAUGCCGCGUGGGUGAAGAAGGUCUUCGGAUUGUAAAGCACUUUUGUUUGGAAAGAAGAGCAGUAAGUUAAUACCUUGCUGUUUUGACGGUACCAAAAGAAUAAGCACCGGCUAACUUCGUG
rnacentral:rRNA from 1 species